rnacentral:snoRNA from 1 species
GUAUAAGAAAAACCGUAGCCACACACCAUUGGAAAUGCUUCAUAGAGUAACUGUGGCUUGGCUUUACUCACAGGACUUUUUGUUAGAUCUGUGUGAAGGAACUACAAGACAGUC